rnacentral:tRNA from 1 species
UUAGUGGUGUAGGGGUAUCACGUUUGCUUCGCAUGCGAAAGGCCCCGGGUUCGAUUCCCGGCUAGUC